rnacentral:rRNA from 1 species
UACGGAGGGUGCAAGCGUUAUCCGGAUUUACUGGGUUUAAAGGGUGUGUAGGCGGGCUAUUAAGUCAGUGGUGAAAUCUCCGGGCUCAACCCGGAAACUGCCAUUGAUACUGAGAGUCUCGAGACCGGAAGAGGUAAGUGGAACUGCGAGUGUAGAGGUGAAAUUCGUAGAUAUUCGCAAGAGCACCAGUGGCGAAGGCGGCUUACUGGUCCGGUUCUGACGCUGAGGCACGAAAGCGUGGGGAGCAAACAGG